UAGGGAAUCUUCGGCAAUGGACGAAAGUCUGACCGAGCAACGCCGCGUGAGUGAAGAAGGUUUUCGGAUCGUAAAACUCUGUUGUUAGAGAAGAACAAGGACGUUAGUAACUGAACGUCCCCUGACGGUAUCUAACCAGAAAGCCACGGCUAACUACGUGCCAGCAGCCGCGGUAAUACGUAGGUGGCAAGCGUUGUCCGGAUUUAUUGGGCGUAAAGCGAGCGCAGGCGGUUUCUUAAGUCUGAUGUGAAAGCCCCCGGCUCAACCGGGGAGGUCAUUGGAAACUGGGAGACUUGAGUGCAGAAGAGGAGAGUGGAAUUCCAUGUGUAGCGGUGAAAUGCGUAGAUAUAUGGAGGAACACCAGUGGCGAAGGCGGCUCUCUGGUCUGUAACUGACGCUGAGGCUCGAAAGCGUGGGGAGCAAACAGG
rnacentral:rRNA from 2 species